GAUGAACGCUGGCGGCGUGCCUAAUACAUGCAAGUCGAGCGAACAGACGAGGAGCUUGCUCCUCUGACGUUAGCGGCGGACGGGUGAGUAACACGUGGAUAACCUACCUAUAAGACUGGGAUAACUUCGGGAAACCGGAGCUAAUACCGGAUAAUAUAUUGAACCGCAUGGUUCAAUAGUGAAAGACGGUUUUGCUGUCACUUAUAGAUGGAUCCGCGCCGCAUUAGCUAGUUGGUAAGGUAACGGCUUACCAAGGCAACGAUGCGUAGCCGACCUGAGAGGGUGACCGGCCACACUGGAACUGAGACACGGUCCAGACUCCUACGGGAGGCAGCAGUAGGGAAUCUUCGGAAAUGGGCGAAAGCCUGACGGAGCAACGCCGCGUGAGUGAUGAAGGUCUUCGGAUCGUAAAACUCUGUUAUUAGGGAAGAACAAAUGUGUAAGUAACUAUGCACGUCUUGACGGUACCUAAUCAGAAAGCCACGGCUAACUACGUG
rnacentral:rRNA from 1 species